UACGAAGGGGGCUAGCGUUGCUCGGAAUUACUGGCGUAAAGGGCGCGUAGGCGGAUAUUUAAGUCGGGGGUGAAAGCCCGGGGCUCAACCUCGGAAUUGCCUUCGAUACUGGAUAUCUUGAGUUCGGGAGAGGUGAGUGGAAGUGCCGAGUGUAGAGGUGAAAUUCGUAGAUAUUCGGCGGAACACCAGUGGCGAAGGCGACUCACUGGCCCGAUACUGACGCUGAGGCGCGAAAGCGUGGGGAGC
rnacentral:rRNA from 1 species